UCCGGAGUAGCUCAGUUGGUAGAGCGGCUGACUGUUAAUCAGCAUGUCGGGGGUUCGAGUCCCUCCUCCGGAGCCA
rnacentral:tRNA from 1 species